GGGAGAAAAAGCAUUCCGCAGUUACUGUGGCUAAAGCAGCUAGGGAGCACACCAGAAACGAGAAUGGCUUUCCCCCCAGUGAAGACGGUGCAAACCCAGAGGCAUCCCUGGCUCCCUGAGGGAGCUCAGCUCCUGGCAGGAAGAGGAGGCAUUUUUCUGGGCCUGCUACUGAGACAGAGAGGCAGGAAAGGAUGCCUCUGCCUGCCUUCAGCCAAAACCCGCUGAAGAGAACAUUUUCUCAAAGCCGGUAGCCACUCCCAUGUCAGAAUUCAGGACUUCCAACGAAACAUGGCAGGAUUCAGAUGAACUGAACCAACUUGAGUGUGCCUCUCUGACUGGAGGGACCUCUUCAUUUCCCCUCAGCUGCAU